UAGGGAAUCUUCCGCAAUGGACGAAAGUCUGACGGAGCAACGCCGCGUGAGUGAUGAAGGUUUUCGGAUCGUAAAACUCUGUUGUUAGGGAAGAACAAGUACCGUUCGAAUAGGGCGGUACCUUGACGGUACCUAACCAGAAAGCCACGGCUAACUACGUGCCAGCAGCCGCGGUAAUACGUAGGUGGCAAGCGUUGUCCGGAAUUAUUGGGCGUAAAGCGCGCGCAGGCGGUUUCUUAAGUCUGAUGUGAAAGCCCCCGGCUCAACCGGGGAGGGUCAUUGGAAACUGGGGAACUUGAGUGCAGAAGAGGAGAGUGGAAUUCCACGUGUAGCGGUGAAAUGCGUAGAGAUGUGGAGGAACACCAGUGGCGAAGGCGACUCUCUGGUCUGUAACUGACGCUGAGGCGCGAAAGCGUGGGGAGCGAACA
rnacentral:rRNA from 1 species